rnacentral:rRNA from 1 species
GAUGAACGCUGGCGGCGUGCCUAAUACAUGCAAGUCGAGCGAACGGACGAGAAGCUUGCUUUUCUGAUGUUAGCGGCGGACGGGUGAGUAACACGUGGAUAACCUACCUAUAAGACUGGGAUAACUUCGGGAAACCGGAGCUAAUACCGGAUAAUAUUUUGAACCGCAUGGUUCAAAAGUGAAAGACGGUCUUGCUGUCACUUAUACAUGGAUCCGCGCUGCAUUAGCUAGUUGGUAAGGUAACGGCUUACCAAGGCAACGAUGCAUAGCCGACCUGAGAGGGUGAUCGGCCACACUGGAACUGAGACACGGUCCAGACUCCUACGGGAGGCAGCAGUAGGGAAUCUUCCGCAAUGGGCGAAAGCCUGACGGAGCAACGCCGCGUGAGUGAUGAAGGUCUUCGGAUCGUAAAACUCUGUUAUUAGGGAAGAACAUAUGUGUAAGUAACUGUGCACAUCUUGACGGUACCUAAUCAGAAAGCCACGGCUAACUACGUG